rnacentral:rRNA from 1 species
GACGAACGCUGGCGGCGUGCUUAACACAUGCAAGUCGAACGGAAAGGCCCUGCUUUUGUGGGGUGCUCGAGUGGCGAACGGGUGAGUAACACGUGAGUAACCUGCCCUUGACUUUGGGAUAACUUCAGGAAACUGGGGCUAAUACCGGAUAGGAGCUCCUGCUGCAUGGUGGGGGUUGGAAAGUUUCGGCGGUUGGGGAUGGACUCGCGGCUUAUCAGCUUGUUGGUGGGGUAGUGGCUUACCAAGGCUUUGACAGGUAGCCGGCCUGAGAGGGUGACCGGCCACAUUGGGACUGAGAUACGGCCCAGACUCCUACGGGAGGCAGCAGAGGGGAAUAUUGCACAAUGGGCGGAAGCCUGAUGCAGCAACGCCGCGUGCGGGAUGACGGCCUUCGGGUUGUAAACCGCUUUCGCCUGUGACGAAGCGUGAGUGACGGUAAUGGGUAAAGAAGCACCGGCUAACUACGUG